rnacentral:rRNA from 1 species
GGAUCGCCCUUCCUACGGGAGGCAGCAGUGGGGAAUAUUGGACAAUGGGCGCAAGCCUGACCCAGCAAUACCGCGUGUGUGAAGAAGGCCCGAGGGUUGUAAAGCACUUUCAAUGGGGAGGAAAAAGCGCAGGCCAACACCCUGCGUAUUGACAUUACCCAUACAAGAAGCACCGGCUAACUCCGUGCCAGCAGCCGCGGUAAUAAGGGCGAUCCC